GAAUGUUUUUCUCAUUUGGACUAGGUUGGCUUGCAUGUAUUUUGGCGGUUUAUUUGAUUAAGGAUAUGCCUGAGUAAUCUAUGGUUCUUCACUCCAAGAUCUAGUGAGUUUUCACACCGACAGGUAAAGAGGAAGUAGGUCGGCCUGAGUUACAUUGCGUCAGCCAAGUUGUGACAGCUUGGAUUAUUAAAGGCGGCGUAUCAGAUGGAGCGCUGAUCGCCACCUUGCAUCUUUGAUCUGCAUAACCUAAACCCAAAUGCUCGCAAGAGACCAUUGAGAUGUAACUGCUGUGAUGGCAUGUCCUCCAACAAAUUCAAGAGUUUCUGUUACACUACACGUAGCGAUCAUGCUGGGACGCGGCGUGUCUACCUAUUCCUUCCAGCGGCCGCCGUCUAUCCGCUCCUCUGCUGGCCUGACCGGAAACCGGGCGAGUCAAAUUCAGGAAGUAGAACGGCGUAGGGAAUUUCGGAAACUAUCAUCUCAAUAGACAGGUUUGACACAAGCGGAACAACGAAUCAUUUGACUGCCAGGUAGCGAAACCAUUUUCUUUUAUCAUUAUUGCCAUCAACUCCGAACACAAGUUAGCAUGAGUGAA